UGUUUGUUUAAAAGAAAUGAGUGAGAAAGAAACCUUGUUUUUUUGUUUUGUUUUAUCUCAGCAAAGGAAAAGUGUGAAGAGGAAAUGAAUAAACAGCCAGAGCCUCGACGAAGAAACAGUAAUGAGGAAGACCGUCCUGACACUGUGCAGAUGCCCGACCCCAUUGCCCGCUCUUCAUGGUGGACACGAUGGAUCCCCUCCUUUCGAAGUAAGAACAUCACUCUUUUCUUUACUUUUUUUCUCUUUUGUUUAUACCAGGGGUGUUCAUUGGUUAAAAUCACAAUUUACUACCACAGUAGGUAUGCGGUCAUUGUUUUAAA